ACCUAAACUGAUACAUACUCCAGUUACCGAAGAUCCACUGUCUUUGCAAGUCUAUGUGGUAGGAAUGCAGAAAGAAAGAACUCAAAAGCAAUUUCCCAAAGAAGAUGGAACAUGAAAAGCAUUGAAAUAAUCUCAACAUCAUCUGUUGCUGUACUUUGUACUUUAGAACCUAGUAGGAACUCAAGUUUUUUGUCUAUUUGAUCUUCCUUGUGGGAUAAGAAUUUGAGGAAGGAGAUAUCUCUGCCUCAGGAUUGCUACAUUGAGAAUCACUCACAAGAGACCUCAACCAACAUAAAUCUCUUUGCAAUGAGCUCUAAUCCAGAGAAUGGAACUCUAUAACAAGCAUUAACUUUUAAUAGAUCAUGAAAGUUCUCCAGCCCAUCUGCAAAAAUGCUUCUGAAAAAGAAGCAUUAACCACAUAAUCAAUUUGUGGAACAGAGAGACGAUGAUGAGCUGAAGAGAAGAGAGAGAAGGAUUUUAUUUACUUAUUCAUGAGAGACCCAGAGAGGCAGAGACACAGGCAGUGGGAGAAGCAGGCUCCAUGCAGGAAGCCCAACGUGGGACACCAUCCUGGGACUCCAGGGUCACAACCUGGGCCGAAGGCAGGCACUAAACCACCGAGCCACCCAGGGUUCUCUAAUGAAACCCCUCUUGAUAGAUGUUUAGAUUGUUCCCCUUUUUCCCUUUUGUUUUGUUUUGCUUUA